CCUACGGGUGGCAGCAGUGAGGAAUAUUGGUCAAUGGGCGGAAGCCUGAACCAGCCAAGUCGCGUGAGGGAUUAAGGCCCUGCGGGUCGUAAACCUCUUUUGCCGGGGAGCAGAGGUCCGGACGUGUCCGGGCCGGGAGAGUACCCGGAGAAAAAGCAUCGGCUAACUCCGUGCCAGCAGCCGCGGUAAUACGGAGGAUGCGAGCGUUAUCCGGAUUUAUUGGGUUUAAAGGGUGCGUAGGCGGGCAUUUAAGCCGGCGGUCAAAUGUCGGGGUUAAACCCCGCCCUGCCGUCGGAACUGGGUGCCUUGAGUGGGCGAGAAGUAUGCGGAAUGCGUGGUGUAGCGGUGAAAUGUAUAGAUAUCACGCAGAACCCCGAUUGCGAAGGCAGCAUACCGGCGCCCUACUGACGCUGAGGCACGAAAGUGCGGGUAUCGAACAGGAUUAGAUACCCCAGUAGUC
rnacentral:rRNA from 1 species